UACGUAGGAGGCGAGCGUUGUCCGGAUUUAUUGGGCGUAAAGAGCGCGUAGGCGGCCUGGCAAGUUGGGUGUGAAAUCCCCUGGCUUAACUGGGGGGAGUCAUCCGAUACUGCUAAGCUUGAGGUCGGCAGAGGAAGGUAGAAUUCCCGGUGUAGUGGUGAAAUGCGUAGAUAUCGGGAGGAAUACCAGUGGCGAAGGCGGCCUUCUGGGCCGAUCCUGACGCUGAGGCGCGAAAGCGUGGGGAG
rnacentral:rRNA from 1 species